UCGUCGUCAGGACGAACGCUGGCGGCGUGCCUAACACAUGCAAGUCGAGCGGAGAUUAUAGCAAUAUAAGCUUAGCGGCGGACGGGUGAGUAACGCGUGGGCAACCUGCCUUUCGACAGGGGGAUAACACAGGGAAACUUGUGCUAAUACCGCAUAAGAUCAUAGGAGGACAUCCUCCAGUGACCAAAGGAGCAAUCCGGUGAGAGAUGGGCCCGCGUCCAAUUUAGCUAGUUGGUGGUGUAACGGACCACCCAAGGCGACGAUUGGUAGCCGAACUGAGAGGUUGAUCGGCCACAUUGGGACUGAGAUACGGCCCAGACUCCUACGGGAGGCAGCAGUGGGGAAUAUUGCGCAAUGGGGGGAACCCUGAACCGCAGCAACGCCGCGUGAAGGAUGAAGGUUUUCGGAUCGUAAACUUCUUUGAUGAGGGACGAAAGAAAUGACGGUACCUCAAAAACAAGCCACGGCUAACUACGUGCCAGCCGCUGC
rnacentral:rRNA from 1 species